ACACUAUAUGGACAAAAGUAUUGGGACACUCCAUCAUUGAAUUCAGGGGCUCCAUUCUUACCCAUUGCCACAGGUGUAUAGGAUCAAAUCCCUAACCAUGCAGUCAGGUUUGCAAACAUUUCUCACCCAUUGCCACAGGUGUAUAGGAUCAAAUCCCUAACCAUGCAGUCAGGUUUGCAAACAUUUCUCACCCAUUGCCACAGGUGUAUAGGAUCAAAUCCCUAACCAUGCAGUCAGGUUUGCAAACAUUUCUCACCCAUUGCCACAGGUGUAUAGGAUCAAAUCCCUAACCAUGCAGUCAGGUUUGCAAACAUUUCUCACCCAUUGCCACAGGUGUAUAGGAUCAAAUCCCUAACCAUGCAGUCAGGUUUGCAAACAUUUCUCACC